AUACUUACCUGGCAGGGGAGAUACCGUGAUCAAGAAGGCGGUUCACCCAGGGCGAGGCUCAGCCAUUGCACUUCGGCUGUGCUGACCCCUGCGAAUUCCCCAAAUGUGGGAAUCUCGACUGCAUAAUUUCUGGUAGUGGGGGACUGCGUUCGCGCUCUUG
ensembl:snRNA U1 U1 spliceosomal RNA